rnacentral:tRNA from 1 species
GCCCGGGUGGUGAAAUUGGUAGACACAAGGGACUUAAAAUCCCUCGGCGCAAGCCAUACCGGUUCGAUUCCGGUCCCGGGCACCA